GAUGAACGCUGGCGGCGUGCCUAAUACAUGCAAGUCGAGCGAACAGACGAGGAGCUUGCUCCUCUGACGUUAGCGGCGGACGGGUGAGUAACACGUGGAUAACCUACCUAUAAGACUGGGAUAACUUCGGGAAACCGGAGCUAAUACCGGAUAAUAUCUUUAACCGCAUGGUUCAAUAGUGAAAGACGGUUUUGCUGUCACUUAUAGAUGGAUCCCCGUCGCAUUAGCUAGUUGUUAAGGUAACGGCUUACCAAGGCAACGAUGCGUACCCGACCUGAGGGGGUGAUCGGCCACACUGGAACUGAGACACGGUCAAGACUCAUACGGGAGGCAGCAGUAGGGAAUCUUCCGCAAUGGGCGAAAGCCUGACGGAGCAACGCCGGGUGAGGGAUGAAGGUCUUCGGAUCGAAAAACUCUGUGAUUAGGGAAGAACAAAUGGGGAAGUAACUAUGCACGUCUUGACGGUACCUAAUCAGAAAGCCACGGCUAACUACGUG
rnacentral:rRNA from 1 species